rnacentral:rRNA from 2 species
CAGCUCGUGUCGUGAGAUGUUGGGUUAAGUCCCGCAACGAGCGCAACCCUUAUGACUAGUUGCCAGCAUUUAGUUGGGCACUCUAGUAAGACUGCCGGUGACAAACCGGAGGAAGGUGGGGAUGACGUCAAAUCAUCAUGCCCCUUAUGACCUGGGCUACACACGUGCUACAAUGGAUGGUACAACGAGUUGCGAGACCGCGAGGUCAAGCUAAUCUCUUAAAGCCAUUCUCAGUUCGGACUGUAGGCUGCAACUCGCCUACACGAAGUCGGAAUCGCUAGUAAUCGCGGAUCAGCACGCCGCGGUGAAUACGUUCCCGGGCCUUGUACACACCGCCCGU